AUAAAUAUAAGCUAAAUAGUAAAGCUUUUUGAUUCAUAAUCAAACAAUAGAUGUAUAAUAAAUCUUUUUUAUA
rnacentral:tRNA from 1 species